rnacentral:rRNA from 1 species
UACGGGGGGGGGGCAAGCGUUUGUUCGGAAUUACUGGGCGUAAAGGGCUCGUAGGCGGCCAACUAAGUCAGACGUGAAAUCCCCAGCUCAACCUGGGAACUGCGUCUGAUACUGGAUGGCUUGAAUCCGGGAGAGGGAUGCAGAAUUCCAGGUGUAGCGGUGAAAUGCGUAGAUAUCUGGAGGAAUACCGGUGGCGAAAGCGACUCUCUGGACGGCAACUGACGCUGAGGCACGAAAGCGUGGGGAGCAAACAGG